ncrna:unclassified sequences GP20-b RNA
UGCCGUGGCAUGCGUAAAACAAGCCGACAGCAGGGGACGCAACCCCCAUAUAACAAAGCAUA